GCAAGUCGAACGAGAAAGCACUUUCGGGUGUGAGUAUAGUGGCGCACGGGUGAGUAACGCGUAGGUGACCUACCUUUUUGCUGGGAAUAACUCGAAGAAAUUCGAGCUAAUACCCAAUAAGCUAAGUAAUUUUGAAAGUAACUUAGGAAAGAUUGCCUCUACUUGUAAGCAAUCACAGAAAGAUGGGCCUGCGUGACAUUAGUUUGUUGGUGGGGUAAUGGCCUACCAAGACUACGAUGUCUAGCUGGUCUGAGAGGAUGAUC
rnacentral:rRNA from 1 species